rnacentral:rRNA from 1 species
UACGUAGGUGACAAGCGUUGUCCGGAUUUACUGGGCGUAAAGAGCGCGCAGGCGGUCGUUCAAGUCGAGUGUGAAAGCCCCCGGCUCAACCGGGGAGGGUCAUUCGAUACUGAUCGACUCGAAGGCAGGAGAGGGUAGUGGAAUUCCCGGUGUAGUGGUGAAAUGCGUAGAUAUCGGGAGGAACACCAGUGGCGAAGGCGACUACCUGGCCUGUUCUUGACGCUGAGGCGCGAAAGCUAGGGGAGCAAACGGG